UGCUGGGAAGAAGGAAUCCCGCAGCGUCGGUCGCGAAGAACUGCGUGCAGGCUCAGAGCCUCCAAAACUGCUCCCCGAGGAGUGGCACCGGGGCACCUGACCGAGGGGACAGAGCAGCUGAUGCUUUACUGGACAACGGCCUGGGCGUCACUGCUGCUCCCCGUGCUGCCCUCGGUGCCCACAACCCACCUCCUCUCCCGGCCACCAGGCAGCUUGGGUCUCUCCACCCAGAAACUCGGGCUGUCUUCUCUUCUACGGAGAAAGAACCCCAACUCUGAACGCUCCAGACCUGACUUGCUGGAGGGUUCUGGGCCUUUCUCUUCACGUGGCCUCUGGUGCCCAGUGCAAUAUGAGGAGCCCCCCCAACCCUGGUCAUUUUAUCGCUGAUGGGACUUUACUACAGCCGGCAACACUCAGAAGCAAGCACGCUGUCCCUCAGUAGGAGGACAGAUAAACAAACCACAGGGUGUCCAGACGCUGGACUGUUACUCGGUGCAGAGAAGAAGGGGGCCAUCGAGCCACGAGAAGACACGGAGGAACCCUAAGUGCACACGACUAAGUGAGAGAAGCCGGUCUGAGGAGGCUGCACACUGUGAGCCCACUCUGGGGCGCUCUGGAAGGGCAGCGCUCUGGAGACGUGGACAGAUCUGUGGUCACGGGGCGGGGGAGGGAUGAACAGGGGCCUUUCAGGGCAGUGAGACCCCCGUGAGGUGGUGCGGCGGUGGGUAUUUGACAUCCAGUAAAACCCACGGUUCACCCAACAUCGCAGGUGAACCCGAGUGUCACUGUGGACUUCAGUCAGUGACACUGGACCAGUGCAGCCUUAUCAGCUACAACAUGGUGCGCUCAUCAGGGCAAGACAUCAGUGACGGGGGAUCUGGGGGCAGAGGGGAUGGGAACUCUCUGUGCGAUUCCCCCAUAAACCUGACGCCGCUUAAGAAAUAAAGCCUAAUAAACUA